rnacentral:rRNA from 1 species
AUUGAACGCUGGCGGCAGGCCUAACACAUGCAAGUCGAACGGUAACAGGAAGAAGCUUGCUUCUUUGCUGGCGAGUGGCGGACGGGUGAGUAAUGUCUGGGAAACUGCCUGAUGGAGGGGGAUAACUACUGGAAACGGUAGCUAAUACCGCAUAACGUCGCAAGACCAAAGAGGGGGACCUUCGGGCCUCUUGCCAUCGGAUGUGCCCAGAUGGGAUUAGCUAGUAGGUGGGGUAACGGCUCACCUAGGCGACGAUCCCUAGCUGGUCUGAGAGGAUGACCAGCCACACUGGAACUGAGACACGGUCCAGGCUCCUACGGGAGGCAGCAGUGGGGAAUAUUGCACAAUGGGCGCAAGCCUGAUGCAGCCAUGCCGCGUGUAUGAAGAAGGCCUUCGGGUUGUAAAGUACUUUCAGCGGGGAGGAAGGGAGUAAAGUUAAUACCUUUACUCAUUGACGUUACCCGCAGAAGAAGCACCGGCUAACUCCGUG